UACGAAGGGUGCAAACGUUGCUCGGAAUUAUUGGGCGUAAAGCGCACGUAGGCGGCUUGGCAAGUCGGAUGUGAAAGCCCUCGGCUCAACCAAGGAAGUGCAUCCGAAACUGCUGAGCUUGAGUACUUAAGAGGAUCGCGGAAUUCCCGGUGUAGAGGUGAAAUUCGUAGAUAUCGGGAGGAACACCAGUGGCGAAGGCGGCGAUCUGGGAAGAUACUGACGCUGAGGUGCGAAAGCCAGGGGAGCGAACGGG
rnacentral:rRNA from 1 species